rnacentral:rRNA from 1 species
CAGCCGCCGCGGUAACACAGAGGAUGCAAGCGUUAUCCGGAAUGAUUGGGCGUAAGGCGUCUGUAGGUGGCUUUUCAAGUCCGCCGUCAAAUCCCAGGGCUCAACCCUGGACAGGCGGUGGAAACUACCAAGCUGGAGUACGGUAGGGGCAGAGGGGGGUGGAAUUCCACGUGUAGCAGUGAAAUGCGUAGAGAUGUGGAGGAACACCGAUGGCGAAGGCAGCCCCCUGGGCCAAUACUGACGCUCAUGCACGAAAGCGUGGGGAGCAAACAGGAUUAGAUACCCGCGUAGUCCCUGUCUC